rnacentral:rRNA from 1 species
GUGAGGAAUAUUGGUCAAUGGGCGGAAGCCUGAACCAGCCAUCCCGCGUGGAGGAAGACGGCCCUAUGGGUUGUAAACUUCUUUUCAAGGGGAAGAAAGUUCGCGACGUGUCGCGAUUUGCCGGUACCUUUGGAAUAAGCAUCGGCUAACUCCGUGCCAGCAGCCGCGGUAAUACGGAGGAUGCGAGCGUUAUCCGGAUUUAUUGGGGUUAAAGGGUGCGUAGGACGAUCGAUAAGUCAGCGGUGAAAUACCAUGGCCCAACCAUGGAACUGCCGUUGAUACUGUCGGUAGCGAAUAUGGUCAAGGUAGGCGGAAUGUGUAAUGUAGCGGUGAAAUGCUUAGAUAUUACACAGAACACCGAUUGCGAAGGCAGCUUACUGGUCCAUUAUUGACGCUGAGGCACGAAAGCGUGGGGAUCGAACAGGAUUAGAUACCCGGGUAGUCC